AUUUAUAUAGUUUAAUAAAACAUUACAUUUUCACUGUAAAAUUGAAAUUACAUUUCUAUAAACU
rnacentral:tRNA from 1 species